rnacentral:rRNA from 1 species
CGCUAGCGACAGGGCCUAACACAUGCAAGUCGGAGGGGCAGCACGAAGUAAGCUUGCUUACUUUGGUGGCGACCGGCGCACGGGUGCGUAACAGGGUGUGCAAUCUGUCCAUAAUCGGGGAAUAGCCCAGCGAAAGUUGGAUUAAUGCUCCAUGUGAGUUUUUAGAGGCAUCUCUUUAAUUUGAAACGUAAGGAUUAUGGGCAUGCGUAUGAUUAGCUAGUUGGCGGGGUAACGGCCCACCAAGGCGACGAUCAUUAGGGGUUCUGAGAGGAAGGUCCCCCACAUUGGAACUGAGACACGGUCCAAACUCCUACGGGAGGCAGCAGUGAGGAAUAUUGGUCAAUGGACGAGAGUCUGAACCAGCCAUGUCGCGUGAAGGAUGACUGUCCUAUGGAUUGUAAACUUCUUUUAUAUGGGGAUAAAGUGUGAGACUUGUCUCAUUUUGCAUGUACCAUAUGAAUAAGCAUCGGCUAACUCCGUG